CACGCUAGCAGUUUUAAUUGCUUUCAACCAGGGCUUGAAACGCAGCCAGGAAACACACCAACUCUGAAAGCUGCUGUCUCAGCAGGGCUGUAUUAAAAGGAGAUUUAAUGAGGGGAACAGGACGGGAAGCCGCCGGAGAACCGCUGCCAGAGCGCUGGUUGGUUUUAGCCCUUUUUGCUGCCAGCGCUCCCCACGGUGCAAAAAUUUGCUGCCCUGAGGCAUUGGUGGCCUGAGCCGCCCUGGGGGCGUAGCGCCCACCUGCCCGGAGCUGGGGUGCAAUGUGGCUUUUCUCCAGGCAUUUCCAACCCGCGGUCCCUGCCGGUAAGUGGUGCUAAGGACCUGUUCCUUGGUUCCCUCUCCUGUACUUUCAGGGUGAGUUAGAUGGAUCUGACAUUCACAGCUUGUUAAUCACCAGAACCCCAGCUCCAUUUGGAAAGCCAUCUACCAAAGUCCACUCUGAUUACCAUUUUGUCUUCUGACCUGAUAAAGCUGCUGCAAAAGGAAACAAGCUGCUUCUGUUUUGCCUCCUGCUUUCCUGUGGUCUCAAUGGCAGAAACCUGCUUCCUUACUUAUCAUUGGCAUAAGGCUACGGAAAGGAAGAUAAGAUCCUUAAUGGUGUACUACAAAACUGGACAGCUGGAGUGAACGGAUGAUUGGAGCGACCCAAACAACAAGGUACAAUCAAAUGGCAAAUUUCCUGUGCCCUCCUCUUGCUUCGUUUCAGCAUGAAAACCAAGAGCAGCAUCUGGAAGGGACUUGAAUUCAGUGUACUUGACCCCAAGCUGUAAUUUUGACUUAUCUCUCCUAUUCACUAAUAAACAUGACAUUUAAUUAAAAAAAAAAAAUUAAACAUGAGCCUUUUUUUAUCUUGCAUCUUGCUUUUGCAGCUAAAAAAGCAAACAAAACCCCCACCAAACCAGAACCAAAAAGCUGAUCAUGUGAUGAGAACAAAACAGAGGGGAACAAUGCCAAAGCUUAACAAGGAUUUUUAAAACAGUCACUUUAGUGUUCUGCUGAAUUGCUUUGUCACUUGUGGCAUUUGUAAUAACUUUUGCAUCCUCAAAUGCUUGGAAUGGAGCUCCCUGAAAAUAUGUCACCAAUUAAAGAAAUAUAUGCAGACAGUCUAGGGAGAGAAAACUAAGAGCAUUUUAAUGGAAAAUAUGUAAAUAGAUGAACUUUUCUAAACGUAGUUCAUUCUCAGCGUGUACGCUGAGGGAAAGCUGAUGCUGGUGGGCAGCAGCACGGUUUCAAAAAAUGCAGAGCUGAAGCUCAGUCAUGUGUUUUGGCUAUGCUCAGUGCUCCCACCAAGUAUCAGGGAGUUUGAAGUAUAUAGUGAACGCAGAACCAACUCGCAAACAUGUAUUUUUAUUUUCAUGCCGAGCUGUCUUCCUAAGCUGGAAAAGCAGGUCUUAACAAGAAACAUGCUGUGUGAAGUUUGGGAUUUUUUUUUUUUUUUUCAGUGGAAAAAAAAGAAUACCCCAGCUGAAGAGGAGCCUCAGACAUCCAGUUUUCCCUUUUGUUUUUACAGAAAUCUGACGUCAGUAUAACUUCUCCUUCCUGCAAUUGUUUUUCCAUAGAUUCCUGCUUGGGGCAGGACAGAAACGCAGCCAGCCUUUCUGCUUUUCCUUCUGUGCAAUUAUGCCAGCAAGGUGGUGGUCCUGCUGACUACCAGGUCAUCCCACCUCCAGCUUGUAAGGAGACCCCACGGGGCGAUUUCAAGGAGGUGGGCACGCAGGCUUGUGCUCCUGAUCUGCAUCGGCUUGGGAUCGGUUAUGUUCAUCUCCCCCUGCCACGGCAACAUAUUUUCCAGUGAGAGGUGGGAACUGAGUCAACUAAAUCCUUGUAAAAGCAAUGAAGAACAGACCUGCUGUUCAAAGGCUGCAGCUUCUAUUCCUUAAGUUGUGGGAGCCUGAAAAAUGCUUUGAGUUCUGCAAGGUCCUUUGUGAAGGGAGCGAGAGAUGGGCUUUGUGCACUGCAGAUGUCCGCAAGUGAAUGAACAGCAGCAAAAUAUUUUCCUCUCUGAAAAGUGGGGAUGCUCUCCUCUCCAGCUGUGAAGCACAUGCCGACACAGUCAAGACUGGGGUGAGCAAACUGCUGAGCUGGUCUGCAGAGCAGGGAGUUGACCCGCCGUCCGAGGGAGCCUGGGGUCUGACGGGCUGGGGGAUUAGCCUGCUUAUCUGCUUUUCUGGCUUUCAGUUAGGAUUUAGUUAAGAAUUUCCUGCAUCUGCAUCAGCAAGAAGAAAUGGCUGUGCCCAGGAUUUGGAAAGGUCAGCAAUAGGCCAAAGAUAUUUAAGCACACAGACUUUUAAGGUGUUGGAAAUGUGUAGGCUGGAGGCAAAUCCUGAAAGUAGGUCCUUGGCAUCAGAAAAGUAAGUCUUGGGAGCAGCUUCUAGCUAGGACUGCCUGUGCGUAUGCACGUGCAGGAGAUGUACGCGUUCCAUUUUGUGCCAGCUGGGUGUCCUGCCACAGCAACCCCCCUCCAUGUGCUGCUCCCUCUCAAACCGGCCGCAAAGCUCCCGUGGGCUCCUGUGCUGCUGGGUCUCGCUGGAUGCGUGGCGUUUGGGUGACCGUCCUCCCGGGCCGGGGUUCCCCCUGCUGCAAAACCCAGCACCCUGACUUUUUCAACCCCACCUGCGUUUUGACCCCUAGCAGCCAGCUGGUAGGUGCCUGCUUUGAGGCAGGCAGAAAAAGCCCCUCAGAUUAAUGGUCUGCCUAAAAGCUAAAAAGAAAAAAAAAGAAAGAAAGAAAGAAAAAAAGAAAUAAUUUAAAACAUCACAUUAAAAUGCCACUCCACAUCUGAAAGGAUCCAUUAAAACUUUUAUAGAGCUUUUUACAUUUGUUUCCCAUUUUACAUUUUGUUCUGGAUUUGGGCACUCCUCUUUUGUAAUUCUCCUUUGUAAUAAACAUUUUUGCCUUGCUUGGCUCUGCACUAACAGGGACUAUUUGCUGUGCAGAAGGAAACGUGGGAUUUUGCCUAGAAUGGAGCUUUUUCUUCAGAAAUCACCAUUUGCCGGGAUCCAGCCUGGGUGGGAGCCACAGGCUUGUGGCAGGAGGUGUUCCUGCAGCAUCAUUGUCCUUAAAAAGCUGUAUUUUUUUGAGGGAUUUGGAGAAGCGCAUCCGGGCUUCUCCCUCUGGUGCUCUGCCUGCAGCUCCUUCAGCAGAAGCCCCAUGGUGGCAGGGGCAGGAGGAAGGGCUGGCACUGGGAAAGCUGCAGCAUCGCAUGGCCAGGCCUGCGUGUCCCUCUCCCUCGUCCCACCACACUGCUCCUGGUCCUGCCACCUCCGUGUGUGUCCCUGCUGCAGCUGCCCAGCUGCCAUCCCCACUGGUGGGUGCGCCCCCACCGCCUCUCAGUCCUCACGUCUUUUCAUGGCCUUUCUAUUCACAAUAAAGUAAAUAAUUAAUUUCCAUUAAAAAUAAAUAAAUUAAAAAUAAGUCUGCUGCAGGUGGGUGAAGGAAAAGCUUCUAAGGUUCAGCAGGAAUUGCCAGUUGUCUCUGCCUCCUCUGGAAUGUUGGCAAAAAAAUUAUAGCUUUCACCUGUUCAGCCUUUUUUUUUUCAGAAAAGAUUUUGACUCUUAAGUAUCGGAAGAGCAUCCGGACAAGCGCUGCUGUCUGUGGUGGGAGCCAGGAGCAGUGGGACAUGUCCUGCACCCCACCCAGCUUGUCCCCUCUGACGGGGCCUGGGGAGAUGCUUGAGGAGUGCGGGGCGGUCCGCUGCUGAGGCAACUUCAACCUGCUCGUCACGGCACUGACAUGUGUGGGAUCUAUGAUGCCAGCUGGAUUUUGAUUAAGUGGAAAAUUCCUCUGCGAUGGGCUUUAUUCUCCACGUAAAGCUGUGCUCUGUGGUCGGCGCCAGCGGCAGAGGGUGCGCAGCCCUGGCCGGGACCCGGCGGUGCCAGGGGAUGGGGGUGGCAUCUCCCUCCUCCAUGACCAGGAGCCAGGGUUUGGACCCAGCAUAUCCAUUACUGCAGCAACUGUUCCCCAGCUGGAAGCAGACAGAUGCUCCACUGAUGGGGUGAGUCCAGAAAAGGGUCGUCAUCAGCAGCUCGUCCCCUUUGGUGCCUCCUGGGGACCCUGUGUCCCUGGGAUGGCUGGGGCAGCCGCAUUCCUUCCCUGCCUGACUCGGGGGCAUCUACUGUGCCCAAAGAGAAAGAGCUCCACAUGGUGCAGAUGAUAUUUCAUACAGAUUUGGUUCAGUGUUAUCUGCUGUGAACAUAAAUACCAGCUCGGUAACUUCGCUCUUGUAAAUGAUAAACUGAAACCUCUUUGGUUGUUUCGCAGUCAAAUGCCAGUAACAAAAAUGAAAAAUCACCAUUAAUCCCCCUGCUUUAUUUAGUUUUGAUGCUGUCAAGAAAAGACAACACUCAUGUAGCAUAAGGAGAAUUUUUAAAUAGAAGCAUUACAUUUUAAAACUCUAAUAAAGAUAAAAGCAAAAUAAACAGCGGAAUUUGAAUUUAGAGAAUGAGAGAAGAAAGAUUAGCCUGUACUGGUGAGGUAAUGAAGGUAGUGGCUGGCAACAAUAUUUAAUAGCACAUUAAUGCUGAAUUACUUUGGAAUUUCUGCAGGAGUAGAGAUGACAUCCACAUAAACACCAAAUGAAUUCCAAAUGAUUGGUAUUAUCAUAAAGAGCACCAAAUGAAUUAAUAAUGAUGGAACACUUAAACUAAAACGUUAUCUUCUCUGUUGUCUCUUUUAUGCACUGUGCAAUUCAUUUUUUGCCAACUAUGACCCUUUCUUUCGUUUGUCUUUUAAUUUAAAAAAAAAUAAUAAUUUAUUUUUGCACAAAGGUUCUACUCCUGUACCGUGUGAACUGGGGCUUGGACUAGUCUGUCUUCAUAAAGUUUUGUGUUGGCAUCGCAAAAUUUAAGAGAUCGAUGGGAAGACAUCUGGAUGUGAGAUGUAUCGCUGGGAAAAUGACUAUGACUAAUAAGAACCAUAAUAAUAACGAUUCCGCCUUGAUGGUCCCACAUGUGCAGAGACCUCAGGGCACCCUUAACAGCAUUUAAUAAACUAAAUGGCUCACUUUACUGCAGCGCAAUAUGUCUCCCCCUCCCAUGGAGAAGCCCAACAGGAGAGGAAGCCUGAACUCGCAGUCUGUGUCACAGCCAAAGAAGAUAAAUAAAAGAAGAAAAAAGAAGGUAAAGAGGAGGCUGGGGCUUGUUUUGUGUGCUGGGCGGCGCUGCCCAUGGGUGCCAGUGAGGAGCUGAGCUCUGGCGCUGUGGUUACAUGUGUGGGGGCUCUUUGGGGGCCUGGAUACCUGACAAAUGUGGGCUCUUCAGGGUGGCGGGCAGGCAGGCAGAGCCUGGGGAGGGGGACCCAGCAGCAGCAGCAGCAGCAGCAUUGCCUUCCUGCGGGCAGCAGUGCCCCAGGCCACACCAGGUCUUUUCCCGGCACUGGGCUGGGUGCGCUCGCUGACAUAUUAGCAGUCAAAUGACAUUUAGGGAGCACAAGUCUCACUCUCUCCUGCAGGCCAAGUAAAUAUCAUUAGUAAUGAUAUUAAAUCUCGAAUUGUGCUCCUGCACUAUGGCAACCACUCAGCCAGCAUGUGCUAUUGCUGCUUGUUCCUAACAAUUACUUUCAGAGACUUUAUUUCUUAGAAAACUAUUACUGACCAUAAUCCUCUACAUGGCAUGCCGUGAAAGUAAGAAAGAAUAAAAAAAGGAAAGUCAACCCAGCUGUCAGAGUGAGGUUGUAGAGGUGCCCAGAGGCUGGCGUGGCAGGUUUCGUCUGGGUUCGGAGGGUGCUGCUGCUGGGUGCUGCCCCGGGGAGCUGGGCAGGGCAGAGCUGCGUGGCUUUAGAGCAGCACAUGCUCCAAGGCAGUCAGCUUGCUCCCCAGCGCAGUAUCCGUCACGGAAAUACAUAUAUAUAUAUAAAAUUACUUUUUUAAAAUAUAUGUGUAUGUAUAGAUAUGUAUAUACAUGUGUGUAUAUGAGUAUAUGUAUAUAUAACACAAAUGUGUGUAUAUCCAUCUGUGUACAUGUGUAUAUAAAUACAUGUAUGUGUAUACAUGCACAUGGAAAUCCAUACAUAUAAACGUAUACACACACACAACCUCUUAGCUGUUGGCUUUUCGCUGCUGAAGUGUUUGCUGGGCUGUUACAGGCUGCCGGUGGCAGCGGUGGGCCGCUGGCCCGUCACACGUGCUGUGCUUUUGUGACAAAAGCAACGUAUAAUUAUAUUACAAAUUAACUUGCAAAUGCUGGCAGAGAUGUACUCCACAGGAAAAAAAAUAAUAAUAAAAAAAUCAGUUUCAUCUUCUCUUGUGUCUUGUAGCUGGUCCCUCCAGCACAGUCUGCAUCUGUCAGAAUCCAUGCCCUGGGAGCACUAAUCAUUUUUAUUAACCAUUAAACAAGAAGAUCCUUUUUAUUUGAAAAUGUAAAACAUGCAGGAAGCACUAUCUAUAGCCGCUAAUUCAGGUCACAUGAAACAGCUCUUCCUCACCUCUCGGCUCGUCCCUGCUCUGCUGAAAGCUGCUCACCGACCAACCUGCCGCAGCACCUCUUCCCCGUCGGGGUGAUGGUCCAUCGCCUGCAUUUGCAUUUUGAAGCUGGAUUUUUUAUCCUGAAUAAUUACAUUUCAUUUCCGAGUGACCUGAUGUAAAGCAAGCCCCUUUUAAAGCUUCUCUCAUGGCACAUUUAUGAGGCGUUACUACAUUUUCUUAACAUUUUUCACCUUCCCAUCGUUUUUAUUUCACAUUGGGGCGGUGACAGGUGAAGGCACGGUGGCCGCUGCAGAGUGAGCCGGAGGAUGGCAGCGGCCGGGGUCACUCUGCGUCUGUGGACUUUGGUCACUGGUGGGAUGACACCCCACUCCUGUCCCCCUCGCCCCCCGUAAGGAACAGCCCUGUGGGCUCCCACGGCCUUGGGAAACUGGGAGAGGGAUGGACAUCAAGGCUCCUACCUGGGGGUCUGCUCUAGCUGAGCAAAAGGGGUCUCAACAUUUUAUAUACAAAGCUGAGGCUGGUGCUGCCUAGUUAGCAUUAUAGAGCAGCUUCCUCACAUGCUUUUUUAUUAUGCAGCUUGGCGGCUGCUGUGUGAGACUGCGGAAUAUUUUACUGCUUUGUGGCUUGCAUUCAAUACGGCAAAAAAAAGGAGAAUUUGACAAAAAUCCUGCUUUUUUUUUUUUUUUUUCAAAAUGCAUCUUUGUUUUCAGUAGCCCUCCUGCUGUGACAAAACUGUUAAUUAAACUGAAACUAAAAUAAAUUAAGCCCACCUAAUAUGGAAACAUUUGAAGGCAGAGCACCAGCCUAAAGGCUGGCUAGGGUAGGAGCUGGCUGUUCCUGCCCGCGGGUGCCAGCA